CUAAGGAAACCAAUAAAAUCAAUCAUCUUCAGUUUUGAAAGACUUAGGAUAACUAAGUUUUUCUUCGUGACUUCACGAAGGGCCUAUAGCUCAGUUGGUUAGAGCACACGCCUGAUAAGCGUGAGGUCGGUGGUUCAAGUCCAUUUAGGCCCACCAGAGUUAUAGGUGUCGUAAGAACACAAAUUCUUUGAAAAUUAAGUAAAUAGUAGUUAUUUUUCCGGA
rnacentral:misc_RNA from 1 species